CCUGGUGGCUCAGAUGGUAAAGCGUCUGUCUACAAUGCAGGAGACCCAGGUUCGAUUCUUGGGUCAGGA
rnacentral:tRNA from 1 species